GACGAACGCUGGCGGCGUGCUUAACACAUGCAAGUCGAACGGAAAGGCCUCUUUCGGGGGGUACUCGAGUGGCGAACGGGUGAGUAACACGUGAGUAACCUGCCCUUGACUUUGGGAUAACUUCAGGAAACUGGGGCUAAUACCGGAUAGGAGCUCCUGCUGCAUGGUGGGGGUUGGAAAGUUUCGGCGGUUGGGGAUGGACUCGCGGCUUAUCAGCUUGUUGGUGGGGUAGUGGCUUACCAAGGCUUUGACGGGUAGCCGGCCUGAGAGGGUGACCGGCCACAUUGGGACUGAGAUACGGCCCAGACUCCUACGGGAGGCAGCAGUGGGGAAUAUUGCACAAUGGGCGGGAGCCUGAUGCAGCAACGCCGCGUGCGGGAUGACGGCCUUCGGGUUGUAAACCGCUUUCGCCUGUGACGAAGCGUGAGUGACGGUAAUGGGUAAAGAAGCACCGGCUAACUACGUG
rnacentral:rRNA from 1 species